rnacentral:rRNA from 1 species
UACGGAGGUGGCAAGCGUUGCUCGGAAUCACUGGGCGUAAAGGGCGCGUAGGCGGGGAGGUAAGUCGGGUGUGAAAUCCCUCGGCCCAACCGAGGAACUGCGCCCGAGACUGCUUCUCUUGAGUCCCGGAGAGGAAGAUGGAAUUCCCGGUGUAGCGGUGAAAUUCGUAGAUAUCCGGAAGAACACCAGUGGCGAAGGCGACUCACUGGACACAUAUUGACGCUGAGGUGCGAAAGCGUGGGGAGCAAACAGG